AUAUUUUAAUACAACAUAAAUGAUCAAAUUUUUUAAGGAUGUUUAUUCAAUCAAAUUUAACCCAAUUACAAUACAACUUGAUCAAAUUUAACCAUAUUUUUGGAAAUAAAUAUUACAAAAUAAUAAUUAAAAAAAAUUGACUUAUGAUAGGGAACAAGAAAGUUGGAUGGAGAGGCAGAGAGCAGGCUGGUCAGAGGAGCAGAGAACACCAAAAACAUGGUGUGGCUAGAUAGGGAGCACGGUAGGGUCAAAUGGAGGCCAGACAAAGAAAAAUGAGGUUAAAUGGGGGCCGGAUGGGGAGCACAGAUGAGGAGCUUGGUGGGGCUAGAUGGGAGCCAGAGCACUAAGAUCUGGCGACAAGGGAGUAGGGUGGGAUCGAAGGGCAUGGAUUGAAUGAGAAGGGGGGGCGGAUAGAGAGAAGGAGGUUGGAGAGUAAGGGAACAAAAGGGGACCACGGUUGGGGAAAAAGCAGAAUAGAAAUCAUGUCUUCUAGCCAUAAUCUCAUCGGAAUCAUGUCUUCAAGCCACAAUCUCAUUAA
rnacentral:lncRNA from 1 species